AAGUACAAAAUUCCAGAUUUGUAGUGAAUUUUCUGUUGCUUAGCUGCCAUGUCACAACUCUCAAAGCUGGAAGAGCAGUUACUUUCCUGAAGCACGAGUAGCAUAGAACUGUUGAAGUUUUCUAAACAAUGUGAAAAAAAAAAGGAGGUGACCAAUCCAUCGCGCAUAUUCCAGCUGAAGAAACAUGAGAUGCAACGAGACAACACAUGAUCCACUAAAUUCUGGUUUCCGGCAGAUAUAGUCCUUACAGGAAUUGCAGCAUCUAGCUCAUGAAGAAACAAAAGCAGAUUAUACCAAAUCAUACUUUGCAAGAAAAUAAUCUGGGGUAAAAGAAAAUCAGAUUCUUCUUUAUACAUAGCCUUCAUGAGUGGAAUUCCAAGGAUCAAAGUAUUAGGAAGUGUUGAUAACGAAAGACCAGUUAUAAUCCAUUUCAAACCACCUCUAAUAUCACCAAUCUUAAUGAUUAUAAUUAAAACUAAAAAUGCAAGAAAUUUCUGAACGAAAUCCGCAUAUAUGAGUUUAAGACUCAUUUUGUAAA